UUUCGAAUUAUUCACAAUGGGCGAAAGCCUGAUGGUGCGACGCCGCGUGGGGGAUGAAGGUCUUCGGAUUGUAAACCCCUGUCACCGGGGAAGAAACGCUGAAUAUGAACAUUAUUCAGCCUGACUUAACCCGGAGAGGAAGCAGUGGCUAACUCUGUGCCAGCAGCCGCGGUAAUACAGAGACUGCAAGCGUUAUUCGGAUUCACUGGGCGUAAAGGGUGCGCAGGCGGCCGUGUGUGUUAGGCGUGAAAGCCCGAGGCUUAACCUCGGAAUUGCACCUAAAACUACAUGGCUAGAGUACUGGAGAGGGUAGCGGAAUUCACGGUGUAGCAGUGAAAUGCGUAGAUAUCGUGAGGAACACCAAUGGCGAAGGCAGCUACCUGGACAGUUACUGACGCUCAGGCACGAAAGCGUGGGGAGCAAAAG
rnacentral:rRNA from 1 species